rnacentral:rRNA from 1 species
UACGUAGGGUGCGAGCGUUGUCCGGAUUUACUGGGCGUAAAGGGCGCGUAGGCGGUCAGCACAAGUCAGUUGUGAAAUCUCCGGGCUUAACUCGGAAAGGUCAACUGAUACUGUGCGACUAGAGUGCAGAAGGGCAACUGGAAUUCUCGGUGUAGCGGUGAAAUGCGUAGAUAUCGAGAGGAACACCUGCGGCGAAGGCGGGUUGCUGGGCUGACACUGACGCUGAUGCGCGAAAGCCAGGGAGCGAAGCGGG